rnacentral:rRNA from 1 species
AGCAUGUGGUUUAAUUCGAAGCAACGCGAAGAACCUUACCAGGUCUUGACAUCCGAUGCUAUUUCUAGAGAUGAAAGUUACUUCGGUACAUCGGUGACAGGUGGUGCAUGGUUGUCGUCAGCUCGUGUCGUGAGAUGUUGGGUUAAGUCCCGCAACGAGCGCAACCCCUAUUGUUAGUUGCCAUCAUUCAGUUGGGCACUCUAGCGAGACUGCCGGUAAUAAACCGGAGGAAGGUGGGGAUGACGUCAAAUCAUCAUGCCCCUUAUGACCUGGGCUACACACGUGCUACAAUGGACGGUACAGAACGAUGCGAAACCGCGAGGCGAAGCAAAUCGGCGAAAACCGUUCGUAGUUCGGAUUGGAGUCUGAAACCCGACUCCAUGAAGUUGGAAUCGCUAGUAAUCGCGCAUCAGCACGGCGCGGUGAAUACGUUCCCGGGCCUU